AGUGAACGCUGGCGGUAGGCCUAACACAUGCAAGUCGAACGGCAGCACAGAGGAGCUUGCUCCUUGGGUGGCGAGUGGCGGACGGGUGAGGAAUACAUCGGAAUCUACUCUGUCGUGGGGGAUAACGUAGGGAAACUUACGCUAAUACCGCAUACGACCUACGGGUGAAAGCAGGGGACCUUCGGGCCUUGCGCGAUUGAAUGAGCCGAUGUCGGAUUAGCUAGUUGGCGGGGUAAAGGCCCACCAAGGCGACGAUGCGUAGCUGGUCUGAGAGGAUGAGCAGCCACACUGGAACUGAGACACGGUCCAGACUCCUACGGGAGGCAGCAGUGGGGAAUAUUGGACAAUGGGCGCAAGCCUGAUUCAGCCAUACCGCGUGGGUGAAGAAGGCCUUCGGGUUGUAAAGCCCUUUUGUUGGGAAAGAAAUCCAGCUGGCUAAUACCCGGUUGGGAUGACGGUACCCAAAGAAUAAGCACCGGCUAACUUCGUGCCAGCAGCCGCGGUAA
rnacentral:rRNA from 1 species